GAUGAACGCUGGCGGCGUGCUUAACACAUGCAAGUCGAACGGAAAGGCUCCUGCUUGCAGGGGUACUCGAGUGGCGAACGGGUGAGUAACACGUGGGUGAUCUGCCCUGCACUUCGGGAUAAGCCUGGGAAACUGGGUCUAAUACCGGAUAGGACCACAUUUUGGAUGGUGUGGUGGAAAGUUUUUCGGUGUGGGAUGAGCUCGCGGCCUAUCAGCUUGUUGGUGGGGUAAUGGCCUACCAAGGCGUCGACGGGUAGCCGGCCUGAGAGGGUGUACGGCCACAUUGGGACUGAGAUACGGCCCAGACUCCUACGGGAGGCAGCAGUGGGGAAUAUUGCACAAUGGGCGCAAGCCUGAUGCAGCGACGCUGCGUGGGGGAUGACGGCCUUCGGGUUGUAAACUCCUUUCGCUAGGGACGAAGCGCAAGUGACGGUACCUGGAGAAGAAGCACCGGCUAACUACGUG
rnacentral:rRNA from 1 species